UACGUAGGGUGCAAGCGUUAAUCGGAAUUACUGGGCGUAAAGCGUGCGCAGGCGGUUUUUGUAAGUCUGUCGUGAAAUCCCCGGGCUCAACCUGGGAAUUGCGAUGGAGACUGCAAGGCUUGAAUCUGGCAGAGGGGGGUAGAAUUCCACGUGUAGCAGUGAAAUGCGUAGAGAUGUGGAGGAACACCGAUGGCGAAGGCAGCCCCCUGGGUCAAGAUUGACGCUCAUGCACGAAAGCGUGGGGAGCGAACAGG
rnacentral:rRNA from 1 species